CCUCCCUCCCCACCCCCAGCAGACCGGGUCCUGGAAGCCAGGACGCUGGAGCUAAAGCCUCCAGAGCACCUACGGGCUGGCAGGGUGAGCCGGGUGGGGACUCAGGAGACUGGAGAGCCCUGCAGGUGCUGAGGGGACAGUUGGGGACUCAGCCAGGAGGGACACUGAGCUGGAAGAGCCCUCACCACCCCUGCCCCUCCCCCCCCGCCUCCCCCCCCCCCCCCCCCCGCCGCCCUGAAGCCAGAGUCCCUGCUUGACAUGGGCAGGACAGCGCGAAGCUAGCCCCUUACCCAGACCCCAGGUGCCAGUUUCCAAUUUGAUUUCCUUCUCUCCACGGGCUAACGCUGACCCCAAGCCGCUCCUCACCUGGACAAGAUGAGAGUGUCAGGUAUGCUUCGCCUCCUGGCCCUUAUCUUUGCCCUGGUCGCCACAUGGAUCUUUAUUAGCAGCUACAUCAGCUUCAACAUGAAAACUCUCCGUCUGCCCCGCUGGCUAGCAGGUUUGGAAUCCCAGGCAAUCCCGGUCGUGAGGACCAAGUGUGGUCUCAGCAAGCCCUGCCCGGACAACUUCUUUGCCUUUAAAAUCAGCAGCGGAGCCGCUAACGUCGUGGGCCCCAAGAUGUGCUUCGAAAACCUUGUGAUCAUGAGUCCUGUGAAAAACAACGUGGGCAGGGGCCUGAACAUUGCCCUGGUGAACGGAACCACAGGACUAGUGCUGACGCAGAACUGUUUCGACAUGUACUCUGGAGAUGUUAACCUCCUGGUAAAAUUCCUUAAAAAAAUCCCAGAGGGCACGCUGGUGCUAAUGGCCUCCUAUGAUGACCCAGGAACCAAAAUGAAUGAUGAGACCAGGAAGCUCCUCUCCAGCUUGGGCAGUUCCUAUGCAAACCAGCUGGGCUUCAGAGAUAGCUGGGUCUUCUUAGGGGCCAAAGACCUCAAGGAUAAAAGCCCUUUUGAGCAGGCUCCCCACCAGAGGGGAGAGGAUAAAUUUGCAUCAAGAGGACGACACAAGGGGCACCUGGGUGGCACCUGACAUCUGCCUUCGGCUCAGUUCUUGAAGAACAAUCCAGACACGAACAAAUAUGAUGGCUGGCCGGAGCUGCUGGAGCUGGAGGGCUGUGUUCCCCAGAAGGUAUUUUAGGGCGGCUGCAGGACCCAAGAAGCCUCUAGCUGUCCUAACAUCAGCUGCAGCGGGGAGAAGGAAGCCAGGUGGCCUGUGGAAAGUUCCCUGGUGGGGAGGGAGGUCCGCGCCCUCUGCACACCUCCCUUCUCCGGAAGCAGCGCCCUCCCAGCCAAGGUGGCCAGCCAUCAGGGGUCCUUCUGGAGCCUGUCUGCUUUCCCUCGAAGCCACGGUCGCGCCCAAGGAAGGACGUACUGCCCGCACCUGCGGCACACCAUUAAAUUUUAUUUUUGCUGAUUUUGAAUGAACUCUCUGACCUUCUGAUGUGCCGCGUUUCUCCCUGGGAUCGAACUGGCCCAGGCCGGGUUGGCUCGGGCGCAAGCUGGGACGAGUCGGUGACAGCUUCAGGCACCAGAGGAAAGCGUGGCCGUCCGUGGCUGCACAGUGAGUCCUUAGCCAAGAGACGUUGAUACCAGCCACUGGAGCCCACGGAGGUGGUAGUGUGGUGGACAGAAGGCCGAGCCUGGGUCUGAGUACUGGCUCUCCACUGGCUAGCUGGGUGAGCAGAUGCCACCUCUCUGAGCCAGAGAGCUCCCCUGUGAGAAAUGGGGGAUUCGAUCCAUCUCGGGGGCGUAGGGGCAGGAAAUAGGAUAAAAUAUCCACAAUGCCAAAAGUUGUCAAAGAGAAAAAAUAUAUAUAUUUGUAUGUAUAUGUAUGUAUGUUUGGGAAAACAUCUGGCCAGAUACCCACCCUGGGAAUGAAGAAGGGGACAAGAAAUUUCCAUUACUACCAUAAACACCUUUGUAUGUUUGGGAUCUUUCUUUACAACAAGGAAGAAUACCUUAUAAAAUUAAAAGAACCAAUAAGGACUUCUAAAGUGAGUUCAGGGCCAGAAGUAGGGGUAGGCAGAGCUCUGGGCAGUGGCCGCUAUUUUAAAAGGACAUGGGGUGGCCUGCUGGUUGUAAGAGAAGACUCGUGGUACUUUUCCAGAAGCUGUCUUGCAUAGCACUUUAAAGAAGAUUGAGAAAAUGUCAACAGGAUGAAUCAGAAUUGGGGAAAGGGUCUCCUGGAGUGGGGGAGCACAGCGGAACGGCUGGUGCCCACCCAGGCCCCCUCACCCAGUUUUUGCCUCUAGGAGUGCGUCUAUGAGCCUCUUUGGAGAACUGCCCUCGGGCUACUCGUUCUUAGCUCCCAGAGGCAGAAAAGAGAGGCCAGGAGGUGCCAGAGUAGAGUAGAGCUGCUGACUGCCCAGCUGGAGUGUGCAAGCCCAGCUCCCUCUCCUGGGGCUGGACAACCAGGAGCUACAAUCUACACUCCACGGUUCCCGUGGGAUCAAGCUGGGAGUGGACCUGAAAGUGUCCCUUUGCUUGGUUGUGUCCCCUUCCCUAUCCUCCCCUACCACUCCCCUACCUGCAUCCUUAAUCACCUGCAUGAGAACACUCACCCGCAAGUCGGCUUCUUGGGGAAUCCAUCCUAAGAGAGGCAGCGACCAUGGCCAGCCAGAUGGAACUGAGCUUGGGCGAGGAGACAAGACCACCUGAUAUGCAGGAAUUGUCAUAAAGAGAGUUCCCGGUGAAGAAAGGCUCAGAGUGAGGAAGCCGCACUUGCCCCUGCCACACGGGACCUGUAGGAGAAGCCACCUGCUGUGCAUGCUUGAGAACACGAAGUGGGUCACGCCCCCUCCCCUCCUCAACCAGGGGCAGGCCUCAGUUGGCACAUCCUCCACAUGAUGGCAGGGAGCCCAAAUGACCAUCAGUGGUACCACCAAAACCUACCAAGGAGAUGGCACUCUAGAGCCAGCCCCUUCUAGGUCCUCCCCCCCGCCCCACAGGGUGGGCGUCACAAAGUGGCAAAUACCCAUCAGAUGCUCAACACCAUUUUCAGGGCACUGUGGCCACUACGGAGACCCCCUCCCCCCCCCCCCGCCGACCCCCUCCAGCUCAGAGUUAGGCAAGACAGUCCAAGAAAAUGGCUGUAGAGAGUUGGGUCUACAGCCCCCUUAUGAGACUGUUUCCUAGUCAGUCAUUACCUGCUACACAAGAACUGGGUAGGCACUGGGGAUACCAUAGUGAAGAAAACCAGACACAGUCCCUGCUCAUAGUCCAGGGGGACGAAGAUCAAGAGGCAGUAGGACUUGAUAAAGGCUAUGUUUGGGGGCGGGGGGCAGGAACUGCAGGAUCAAGGGAGGCAUCCUGGAGGAAGCAGCAUCUACACUGAGCCUGCAGGAGGCACAGGAGUUCACCAGGCAAAGAGGGGAUCCCGGAGGCCAGGCCAGGGAGCAGCAUGAACCAGGCCUUCAAGCUGGAGAGGCCUGGAAGGGGCAGAGGUGGGUAACAAGGGCUGAGCGGGCAGGGGUGACAGGCUUAAGGGUCCUGUGGGCUGGGUGCAGGGGCUUGGACUUUGUCUAGGGGCUGUGGGGACACAUGGAGAGAUUGAAAUUGGGGAAUGAGCCAAUCAGGUUUGUAGUUUUUGAAAAUUCCUCCCGGCUGCUGUAUGGAGAAGGGAGUGGAGAAAGGGAGGCCAGGGGAGUAGGCUGCUGCCUCAGCCAGAGCGGUGCCCUGGGGAUGGAAAAAAGAGGACCAGUCCCAGGGAUAUUCAGGAAGUAAACCGGACAAGACUUGAGGACGGAUUUUUCUCACCAUCGGGGUGGACAAGACUUCAGGAGUCUCUGCAAUCUACUCAUGGGCCUCAGAAUUUGGGACUCCUAUUUCCCUAUCCUCUCCGCAUCAGCCCACCACUCCUCUUUCCCGAGACUGAGGAUGGGGAGGCAAAGGGGGGCGGGUGUGCCUCUGUUCGCGCAGCCCCUUUGGGGCUUUCCAGCAACUGUAAUUCUGGUCCUCACCAGUAGGUGGCAGCCCAAGAUAGAAAGGGAAAGGUAGCAAGGUUACCCCUGCCCACCCAGUUUGGGGAAGGGUGCUGUGCUUAAUGGACAGGAUGCCUGGGACUUACGAAUGGGCGAUGGAUUUACUAUCACAUUAUUAACAGCAUCACAACAUCAGCACCUGGCUUCUAGGGGGAAUUGUGGUUAUAUGCUCUGUGCAGGGCUUUAUAUGCAUUUCAUCCUCAGCCCCAUGUGGUGGCCCAUUGUUGUCUCCUUUUACACGGGAGGAGAAUGAGGCUCAGAGAGGCCAAGAGACUUGUGCAAAGUCACACAGCUAAGAAGCCUCAGAUUAAGGGUUGGAAUCCCAGCCGAUCUACAUCACUACAGGAAACACCCUUCAGAAAUACUUGCCCUGAAACCACUCAGGGGUGAACAAUGUUUUCUCCCUCCUCCUCCUCUUCCCCUUCCUCUCCCACAUCCACUCCUCCUCCACCUCUUCCUCCUCCUCCUGAAUGCCUCUGGAGACCUUUGAAAAUUGCUCAGAACCUCUGAGUCAACAUUCUCAAAACCUUCCCCCAUUUUGUAAGCCUUGCUUCCCUCUACAAGAUUGUGGGUCAAGAAGGAGCAGGUGUUUAUGUCCAUUUCACAGAUGGAGAAAGAGAGGCUACAAGCUGUGCCCAGGCCACACAGUGAGACAAGGCAAAGCUGGAUCUUGACCCCGCCCGCCCAACUGUCUUUUCAUAAAUCCUCUGUGUCUGCAUCCCAAUCACCUCCUUGGUGGCAGGCCCUGUGCUGGGCUCUGGAGCCACCACCCCCACUCCUGCCUAGGGCAUGGGGUCCAAUUCUUGCAUUGCAGACCCACAUCCUGCCGGGAGCUGGGCUUCGGACCUUCAGCCAGUCGAGGGCUCCAGUCAACUAGGCUUUUAGUGAAGCUCAUAAGUCAUAUUUCAGCAGGACUCCAAGCAGAUGGGGAAAAAUUAAUAAACGGGUAAAAUUCCUUUUCUCUCCUCCCAUCCCACCAAGAGCCAAGCUGGUGGAUAAUUAUGGGAUGGCUGCCAAAGGAGUUUGAUCUUCAAGGUUGACGUAUGGCAUUUUUACUGCUCUGGCUGACAGCCAACUUAGUCACUGCCCUUUACAAUUUUGUGGGUGCUCUCCUUACUGCAGGAAAUCAGAAGCUGUACCCCAGCCAUGACUAAAACGGAGAAAGGGAAUGGGGGGGUGGCGCUGAGGCAGGGGCUGGACCCAGGAGAAGGAGCAAAGGAAGAAGCCACAUUUUUGCUUGCCCGGAGGAGACAGGACUAAUAUUUGCCAUGCAGGGAGCUCUUGCAAUGAGCUAGGGCUGUGUUAGACACUCUACAUACUUAGACUAUUUCAUUUCAUCCCCCAUCAUGUACUCACCCACUCCACCAAUAUUUGUUGUGUGACUGCAAUGUGCCAAGCUCUAUUUUACACCAAGGGGCUACACUGAUGAACAAGACAGACCAGGUCUCAGCCUUUGUGGAGCUGCCAUUCAGGUGCAGGAGCUGAACAAUAAACACAGAUAAAACAUCAUUCCAGUUGCUGAUAAAUGCUAUGAAAAAAAUAAUUAGCCCAGGAGGCUGGUUUGCAUAGAGUCAGGGCAGGCUUCUCUGAGGAGGUGAUAAUGGAGCCUGAUGGAUAAAAAGGAAAGAAUCAUGCAAGAUUAAAAAAUGGAGUUGAGGGAGAGAGAUGGGAAACAUUCCAGGCAGCAAGAACAGCAAGUGCAAAGGCCCUGGGGUGAGGAGGAAGGGGGUAUGAAAGAAUUGUCAGGGAGAGAAGGAAAUGGGAAGUGAGGUCUGAGAGGCAAGCAAGACUUGAUGGAACAGAACUUUGGACCAUGGGGAAUUUGAUGCUAUGGGCAAAGCUGGAUCUAGAAUACCUCAUCCUGACCCUUCACUACCAACUGCCAUUUCAUAAAUCAUCGGUGUCAGAAAUCAUCACCACCUCCUAGCCAGGCAAUGUGCUAGAGGAAAGGGAGGGCUGCAAGGUUCCCCCUGCCCAGCCAUCUCUUAAGAAAGGGUGUUCUGCUUAGACCAGUUACUGGGGACUUGCCAGUGGGCAGUGGUUUCAUCCUGAGUAGCCUUGACCGCAUUUUAACUACAGCCCCUAACUUCUCUGGAGAAUUGCUGUUGUCCAAAUCCUCUGCUCAGAGCUUUACUCAAGUCACCUCAUUUCACCCUCAGGCCCCCAUGGGGUUGGGGCCCACUAUUUCCCCCCUUUGGUCAAGUGGGGGAGUAUAAAACGGAAUGACAUCAUCGGAUUUAGGCUCUAACAGAACCGUGGCCCCAGCAGUAUGCACCUACCUCUUUCAGCCGCAGAGCAACCCCGCACUGUGUGAUUAUAGCAACACACACGCACAGAUGAAGAAACUGAGGCUCCCAGGGGAUCAUGCCCUACCCCCGGGUCACACAACUGUGAGGAAAGAGCUGGGAUUCAAGCCCAGCCUGGUUUCAGCCUUAACCUCGUCCCAUGCUGGCGAUAAAAUGAAGGAAGGAGGGGUAGCAACUGAGGAGGAGGGUAACUGCUGGGGGAACUUUGAGAACUUGGCUCUGAGCCUGGAAUCCGGCCUCCAGAUAUUUUCCUGGCCCAAGCCCAGCCCAGCCCUCCCUGCCGGGACUACUGUCCUGGUGAAUGAAGUACUUGGCUCUCAGAGUCUCUGCUCUGGGAGAGCCCUUGCCCCCAAGUGUCUUAAAAGAUCUAGUAUUAAUGGGGGCUGUCCCGCCAGAGGUUCACAUCCCCACACAAGCCUGCCCCGAGCCCCACGGCCCGGCUGUCCCACGCAGCCUCCCCUGUCUGGGACCUGUCUGUGGAUCAGUGCCCAGCCUGGCAAGAAGGCCAAGUCCUGCCUGCUGGGCCAGCCAGAGGUCAUCCGCUGUACCCAAGCUGCCGGCCGCAUGGUGAGAGGACCGCUUUGCUUCUCUCCCCCCUCCAACCUUGGAUGCCUCAGUUUCCCCUCCUGAGAGAGGCAGGGGUAUAAGAAGUGAGCAGCUACAGGGACCACAGGACGUGUGAGCCAUCUGGAGACACCGUGCCCCUCUGACAGGAUGAAUCACCCUAAGCCUGUCUGAGGAGCUCUGGGCUUAGGAGCAGCUGUGAAAGCCUCCUUUGUGCCUGAGGAGAAUGAGCCGCAAGAGCACGGGGGACCCUGGCCUGGGGAACCCCCUGGGCCCCGGCUCCUGAGAACAGCAUCAGCAGGGAGGACCCCCAGCCUGGCCCCCGAGGCCCACGCAGGCCUGGUGCCCACUCCAUGCCAUGGGAGCGGUCCAUGGGAAGAAG